GAUGAACGCUAGCUACAGGCUUAACACAUGCAAGUCGAGGGGAGACGACAUCGAAAGCUUGCUUUUGAUGGGCGUCGACCGGCGCACGGGUGAGUAACGCGUAUCCAACCUGCCCACCACUUGGGGAUAACCUUGCGAAAGUAAGACUAAUACCCAAUGAUAUCUCUAGAAGACAUCUGAAAGAGAUUAAAGAUUUAUCGGUGAUGGAUGGGGAUGCGUCUGAUUAGCUUGUUGGCGGGGUAACGGCCCACCAAGGCAACGAUCAGUAGGGGUUCUGAGAGGAAGGUCCCCCACAUUGGAACUGAGACACGGUCCAAACUCCUACGGGAGGCAGCAGUGAGGAAUAUUGGUCAAUGGACGAGAGUCUGAACCAGCCAAGUAGCGUGCAGGAAGACGGCCCUAUGGGUUGUAAACUGCUUUUAUAAGGGAAUAAAGUGAGUCUCGUGAGACUUUUUGCAUGUACCUUAUGAAUAAGGACCGGCUAAUUCCGUG
rnacentral:rRNA from 1 species